AUAUAUCCUAGUGGAUUUGGAGGAAAAUUAAUUUUUUAAGAGAUUACGAGGAGGUGAAAAAGAAAUGUAGAGUGAAUUGUUUCUUUAAAAAGGUAACAAAAAAAUAUAAUGAAAAAUGAAAAGAGUCUCAAAGGUCAAAACUGUAGUGACUGUACAUAAAUGUUUGAUGGGACAUUGCUCGUGCUUUUCCUUUCUUUCGCUCGGACCACCGACACUCUGUCUCCAAUUAUUUCCUAAAACUUUAAUCUAAUGACUUAAUUUCGUCGACUUUCUAAUUAAUCAAUUAACAUUAUGGAUCUAAUAUGAUUCAAACAAGCACGUCGCUGGUGACUCUGAAUUUCUUUGUUACUUGGUUUAUUGCUAUUUCUUCAAGCAUAUAUGUUUUCUCACAACGUUACGAAUUACUUGUAAUAUGUUUUUCUGCAAGAACAUGUCUUUCCUCGAGAUAUUUUACGUUACUAUUUGCAAAAUUAUUUGC